GGCGGCUGCUAUAAUGCAAGUCGAGCGGACAGAAGGGAGCUUGCUCCCGGAUGUUAGCGGCGGACGGGUGAGUAACACGUGGGUAACCUGCCUGUAAGACUGGGAUAACUCCGGGAAACCGGAGCUAAUACCGGAUAGUUCCUUGAACCGCAUGGUUCAAGGAUGAAAGACGGUUUCGGCUGUCACUUACAGAUGGACCCGCGGCGCAUUAGCUAGUUGGUGAGGUAACGGCUCACCAAGGCGACGAUGCGUAGCCGACCUGAGAGGGUGAUCGGCCACACUGGGACUGAGACACGGCCCAGACUCCUACGGGAGGCAGCAGUAGGGAAUCUUCCGCAAUGGACGAAAGUCUGACGGAGCAACGCCGCGUGAGUGAUGAAGGUUUUCGGAUCGUAAAGCUCUGUUGUUAGGGAAGAACAAGUGCAAGAGUAACUGCUUGCACCUUGACGGUACCUAACCAGAAAGCCACGGCUAACUACGUGCCAGCAGCCGCGGUAAUACGUAGGUGGCAAGCGUUGUCCGGAAUUAUUGGGCGUAUAGGGCUCGCAGGCGGUUUCUUAAGUCUGAUGUGAAAGCCCCCGGCUCAACCGGGGAAGGUCAUUGGAAACUGGGAAAUUUGAGUGCAGAAGAGGAGAGUGGAAUUCCACGUGUAGCGCUGAAAUG
rnacentral:rRNA from 1 species